GCGGCAGGCCUAACACAUGCAAGUCGAGCGGUAGCACAGAGAGCUUGCUCUCGGGUGACGAGCGGCGGACGGGUGAGUAAUGUCUGGGAAACUGCCUGAUGGAGGGGGAUAACUACUGGAAACGGUAGCUAAUACCGCAUAACGUCGCAAGACCAAAGUGGGGGACCUUCGGGCCUCAUGCCAUCAGAUGUGCCCAGAUGGGAUUAGCUGGUAGGUGGGGUAACGGCUCACCUAGGCGACGAUCCCUAGCUGGUCUGAGAGGAUGACCAGCCACACUGGAACUGAGACACGGUCCAGACUCCUACGGGAGGCAGCAGUGGGGAAUAUUGCACAAUGGGCGCAAGCCUGAUGCAGCCAUGCCGCGUGUGUGAAGAAGGCCUUCGGGUUGUAAAGCACUUUCAGCGGGGAGGAAGGCGGUGAGGUUAAUAACCUCAUCGAUUGACGUUACCCGCAGAAGAAGCACCGGCUAACUCCGUGCCAGCAGCCGCGGUAAUACGGAGGGUGCAAGCGUUAAUCGGAAUUACUGGGCGUAAAGCGCACGCAGGCGGUCUGUCAAGUCGGAUGUGAAAUCCCCGGGCUCAACCUGGGAACUGCAUUCGAAACUGGCAGGCUAGAGUCUUGUAGAGGGGGGUAGAAUUCCAGGUGUAGCGGUGAAAUGCGUAGAGAUCUGGAGGAAUACCGGUGGCGAAGGCGGCCCCCUGGACAAAGACUGACGCUCAGGUGCGAAAGCGUGGGGAGCAAACAGGAUUAGAUACCCUGGUAGUCCACGCUGUAAACGAUGUCGAUUUGGAGGUUGUGCCCUUGAGGCGUGGCUUCCGGAGCUAACGCGUUAAAUCGACCGCCUGGGGAGUACGGCCGCAAGGUUAAAACUCAAAUGAAUUGACGGGGGCCCGCACAAGCGGUGGAGCAUGUGGUUUAAUUCGAUGCAACGCGAAGAACCUUACCUGGUCUUGACAUCCACAGAACUUUCCAGAGAUGCAUUGGUGCCUUCGGGAACUGUGAGACAGGUGCUGCAUGGCUGUCGUCAGCUCGUGUUGUGAAAUGUUGGGUUAAGUCCCGCAACGAGCGCAACCCUUAUCCUUUGUUGCCAGCGGUUAGGCCGGGAACUCAAAGGAGACUGCCAGUGAUAAACUGGAGGAAGGUGGGGAUGACGUCAAGUCAUCAUGGCCCUUACGACCAGGGCUACACACGUGCUACAAUGGCAUAUACAAAGAGAAGCGACCUCGCGAGAGCAAGCGGACCUCAUAAAGUAUGUCGUAGUCCGGAUUGGAGUCUGCAACUCGACUCCAUGAAGUCGGAAUCGCUAGUAAUCGUAGAUCAGAAUGCUACGGUGAAUACGUUCCCGGGCCUUGUACACACCGCCCGUCACACCAUGGGAGUGGGUUGCAAAAGAAGUAGGUAGCUUAACCUUCGGGAGGGCGCUUACCACUU
rnacentral:rRNA from 1 species